rnacentral:rRNA from 1 species
AGUGAACGCUGGCGGUAGGCCUAACACAUGCAAGUCGAACGGCAGCACAGUAAGAGCUUGCUCUUACGGGUGGCGAGUGGCGGACGGGUGAGGAAUACAUCGGAAUCUACUUUUUCGUGGGGGAUAACGUAGGGAAACUUACGCUAAUACCGCAUACGACCUACGGGUGAAAGCAGGGGAUCUUCGGACCUUGCGCGAUUGAAUGAGCCGAUGUCGGAUUAGCUAGUUGGCGGGGUAAAGGCCCACCAAGGCGACGAUCCGUAGCUGGUCUGAGAGGAUGAUCAGCCACACUGGAACUGAGCCACGGUCCAGACUCCUACGGGAGGCAGCAGUGGGGAAUAUUGGACAAUGGGCGCAAGCCUGAUCCAGCCAUACCGCGUGGGUGAAGAAGGCCUUCGGGUUGUAAAGCCCUUUUGUUGGGAAAGAAAAGCAGCAGGUUAAUACCCCGCUGUUCUGACGGUGCCCAAAGAAUAAGCACCGGCUAACUUCGUG